rnacentral:misc_RNA from 1 species
CUGGUGCCGCACCCCUGCUCCUCCCUGUUCCAGCUCGGUACCCAGAGCCCCAGCGUCGGCGCCCUUCUGCUGUUCGCCAUGGCGCGCCUCAAGCUUCUCCCUGCGCGCGCGAAGUUCUCUGCUCGCCCAGUCUGCGCACCACUGUAUCUCUCCCCAUGGCGCUCCUCCCUGCCCCUGCUCGGAUUUCCCUUCCGUACCGCGCCCCCUCGGCUCACUCCCUCAACCUCGCCGACUCGCCAAGCUUCCUGCUCGCCUCUGCGCAGCGCUCAGCUCCCUCUGUCCGUUCCCAGCCGUGAUGCUCCCUGGCGCUUGGCCUGCUCCGGAUCCGAGGCUGGUCGCCCUGUGUGCUCGACUGUGUCUUGUCACAAAACCCCGACGCCGUCGUCCCCUGCCGUGCCCCGGAUGUCGUGCUUGUUGUGGUCGGCUCUGGUGGUCGGCAUCGUCGACUGUCGAUUCCGUCAGUAG